UACAGGGGGUGCAAGCGUUGCUCGGAAUCAUUGGGCGUAAAGCGCACGUAGGCGGUUCGUUAUGUCGGAUGUGAAAGCCCUUGGCUUAACCGAGGAAGUGCAUCCGAAACUGGCGAGCUAGAGUACUAAAGAGGAUCGCGGAAUUCCCGGUGUAGAGGUGAAAUUCGUAGAUAUCGGGAGGAACACCGGUGGCGAAGGCGGCGAUCUGGGUAGAUACUGACGCUGAGGUGCGAAAGCGUGGGGAGCGAACAGG
rnacentral:rRNA from 1 species